AUAUCAUUGCUAAGAAGACACUAAUAAAAACAAAAUUGUUUCUCCUAACUCAUGGACUUGUGGUUACUAUCUUUGGCAUCUUUGUGGAGUUAUCCUCGUCAGUCAGGCUUAUCUAAAUGCCUCACUUAAGGGAAUUGGAAUCUCAUUAUACAGACUCAUAUAAACACCUUUCCUAACUUAGAAUCUCAUCAGACAUACUC
rnacentral:lncRNA from 1 species